GCACGUCACAGCCUUACCCGGAAGUACAGUGACAGCUCUUGUCAAAAAUCCCUCAUCCCCUUCGUGGAACUGCGAAAUAAAGCUUGCCAAGAAGCUCAGGCUUUGGAGAGACAUGCAGUACUGACACACCUACAGACAGAGAGACCUGACGGACAGAGUCCAGCUGGCUAGUCAUGGCAGCAGCAAGCGGAACAGAUGUGCGAGAGACUUUGAUCUAGGGUGCCCAUAGCUAUUUUGGAGCCUGGACGUCCUGUUGUAUUGGAUUCAUCUCUCUGCAGCUCUCUGUACGGCAGGUGUUGUCUAAGAGGCUGCCAGCUUGACAUAUUUUUGGCUCUCCUCUCCCCUACACACCCCGAAACCACCUCACCCAACGCCUGGCUGGUGCUCUGGCCCCAGGUUCAGGUUCUCACUGCAUCAAGGCUGGCAAUGUCCAGAGUCCCAAGCCCCCCUUCCCCAGCGGAAAUGUCCAGCGGCCCUGUGGCUGAGAGCUGGUGUUACACUCAGAUCAAAGUGGUGAAGUUCUCCUACAUGUGGACCAUCAACAACUUCAGCUUCUGUCGUGAGGAGAUGGGAGAGGUCAUCAAAAGCUCCACCUUCUCCUCAGGAGCCAACGACAAACUCAAAUGGUGUUUGCGUGUGAAUCCUAAAGGUCUGGAUGAGGAGAGCAAAGACUAUCUGUCACUUUACUUGCUCUUAGUCAGCUGCCCAAAGAGCGAGGUUCGCGCCAAGUUUAAGUUUUCUAUCCUCAAUGCCAAGGGAGAAGAGACCAAAGCCAUGGAGAGCCAGAGGGCAUACCGCUUUGUCCAGGGGAAGGACUGGGGUUUCAAAAAGUUCAUCAGGAGGGACUUCCUGCUGGAUGAGGCCAACGGUCUGCUGCCUGACGACAAACUGACGCUUUUCUGUGAGGUGAGUGUGGUGCAGGACUCUGUGAACAUCUCAGGCCAGAACACAAUGAACAUGGUGAAGGUUCCUGACUGCAGGCUGGCUGAGGAGCUCGGAGAUUUGUGGGAAAACUCAAGAUUCACUGACUGCUCCCUGUGUGUCGCUGGCCAGAAAUUCCAGGCACACAAAGCCAUCUUGGCAGCUCGCUCGCCGGUGUUCAGUGCCAUGUUUGAGCACGAGAUGGAGGAGAGUAAGAAGAACCGUGUGGAGAUAAAUGACGUGGAGCCAGAUGUCUUCAAAGAGAUGAUGUGCUUCAUCUACACAGGCAAGGCCCCCAACCUGGACAAGAUGGCUGAUGACCUGCUGGCUGCAGCUGACAAGUAUGCACUGGAGAGGCUGAAGGUGAUGUGUGAGGACGCUCUGUGCACCAGUCUGUCUGUGGAGAACGCCGCAGAGAUCCUCAUCCUCGCCGACCUGCACAGCGCUGACCAGCUCAGGACGCAGGCUGUGGACUUCAUCAACUAUCACGCAGCUGAUGUGAUGGAGACAUCGGGCUGGAAGUCCAUGGUGAUCUCUCAUCCACACCUGGUAGCAGAGGCCUAUCACUCCCUGGCCUCGGCCCAGUGCCCCUUCCUGGGUCCCCCGAGGAAACGCCUCAAACAGUCCUAGUGGUCCAGAGAGAGGUUCUUCAGUCCUAACCCUGCUGUGUCCUCCUGUACCAGCGACCUCACUGCUCCUCCCUCCCAGUCCUCCUCUUGCUCCUACAGCAUCCCGAGACGCCCAAGACUGAUACCCAAGACUUGGCUAGAUAUGGCUAGGGGAGCUACUCAGCUGGGCAGAACAGAGACUGAUGCCACAGAGGAGAACGUUCCCUACCGGCCCGGCUGUAAUGAGACCUGUGGAGCCAAGGAGUGAUGGAGUUGAACUCAUCAGGACAACACUCGUCGCAACAGAGAGAAAGAGAGAGAGAGAGGUAGUGGGGAAGGGUGGAAAUUAAAGAGGGAUGUUGGAUGAUGUAAAAAAAGACUAAGGCCACAUUUAAUGUGAUUAUUGUUGUCUAAACUCUAUUCAUUUUUUCUGAUCAGGGAUUUUAAGAUGGUUUCUUUCAAAUUUUCCUCUUCUAAAAGCCAACUCCUGUACUUCAGCAAUGGGCUGAAAUUCCAUCUGGAAUUAUUAGCUCAGUUACUAAGUAGCAGGAGAAAUAUUUUACUACUCCCCUCCCUCUGGAGUAUUAAUCCUGUCCAAAUAGGACUGAAGAUAUAUAAUGGAAGAAGAGAUGAAUGAAAAAUAAAUGGGGGCCUCAGCCUAUUCCAGUAUGCAUUAGGCCAGAGGAAAGGAAGAAGUAAAGGAGAGUAGAGCUUUUAUGUCCCCGAGGCAGAAUUUGGUUUACAGACAGUAGUCAAAUGAACAGUAAAUGUAAAAACACAGUAAUAGACAAAACGACACAAUAGAUGCUAACAAGACUGAGUCUGCAGCCAUGCUACCAGCUCUGUGAGGUUUAUUUAGGCAGACCUGCUGGCAUCACUAGAUGAACUGUCUGAGUUAUUUGGAUUUAUUGUCUGGGCACCAUGGAUAUCUGUAAAUUUCACACCAAUCCAUUCAAUACUUAUUGAAUUAUUUCAGCCUCAACCAAAGUGACAGAUCAACCUAAGGCUACAACACAAUCGCACACAUCUACAGAGAGAACUUGGAUAAACCCCUUCAGUGUAAUGCAGUCCGAUCCAGCAGCACCACCACUAACUACUGUAUGGACUCAGAUAUUACUCAAGGUCCAGUCAGCUCCUCUGUGAUGAAGAGUCAACAAAAGUUUUACAUUACACGUGGGAUGUUUUGCAGGGCUGUUGUACUGGAUUGCAUUAGAUUGUAAAGGUGAAGCUAAUAAACUUAAAAAAAAAACAGUGUAAAACUAAUAUAUAGCAAACUGAUAGAGCCUCAGUCCAGGUUAACAUUUUCAGUGGCAGAAGUUGAAAUUGCUGUGCACAUAAUAAAAGAAAAACAAUGGCUGAAGAGUUAAAACUACAGUGCUCAGGUGAAAAAGUGAAAAGAAAAAAACAAUAGUGUAUAAAUCUUAUAAAUGAGAUACCCUGUGAGGCAGGAUUGGGUGUGGAGUAGGAGGGAGAAUGAGGAGAGAAGCACUUAAGGACAUCACAGGAAAAGGGGAAACAGGGUUGUCUUAUGAGCACUGUGGUCCAUUUGUUACCUGUGCAUGGGUAAAUGAAAGCCCUCUCUUAGCCUCGUUAAGCAUGAUGCACUGCCUCAGCCAUCGGCACGGCGCUGAUUAAAAUUCGCCCUCCGGAGUUUGGGGGAGCGGCUAGCUGAGGCUGCACUCCUGUGCUCCAAAAGCAAAUGGGCCGAAAGGUCAUGGCUCAGCGACCCUCACAGCCAUGCCUUAUUUAUUUAGCCUUUUACCUCGCCUGCCACUGGGACGGGGGGAGGGGAAGAGAUCUUUAUUUAAGCUCAUGCUCAUAGACUGGCAAUAUACUACACACACAACAAUAUGAACUGUUAUCCUGCCGAUCCUAAAUGAUCAAUACUUAACUAGAUGUCUGGUAGAAACCUGCAAACUCAGUGUUUUAGUUCGAUGUGAGUCCACAAAUGCAGAUAUGUUUAUUAUAAAAAGGAAUAUUAUACAUGGAUUUAGUGGAGAGUCUGAGGACGUUUUAACAGUUUGGACGAUUGGAGAACAAUGUUUGGAGCCAUGCUCAUGGUGCGGCUAUAGGGAAGGCAAAAUUGGUCUGUUGGUCCACCACUUAAAUCCAGACUGAAAUAUCUCAGCAGUUAUUGAAUGAGCUGCCAGGGGACAAAUCCUAAUGAUUUUGGAAAUUCCCCCAACUUUUCCUACAGGUCAAAGUUUUAACUUAUGUGAAAUAUAUAAACAUCUACAAGAUAGAUUGGCACAAAAUUUGGUACAGAUAUUCAAGUUCCUCAGAGGAUGAUUCAUAAUGACUUUGGUCAUCCCAUGAAUUCACCUUUGUUUACAAGAGGUCAAAUCAUCGGGGGAAAAUUGUCCAAUACUGUCCAGUACUUUGGUUUAUCUAUCCUAACAGACUCCAGAGUCUCCUUAUAUUAACAAUGGAUCAAAUUAAUCCAAUGUGUAAUGUGAGGGAGGUCAUACAUACUGACAAACCCAUGGAGAAUUGUCACCAACUCUCAGUCGUCCUCUGAAGUGUCUUUCAGCUCACUGUUUUGGGUUUUUGGCCACAAACUCCUCUCUCAUCAGGUCCAGUUCUAACUGCAGGUCUGGUGAAAACCUGCAGCAUCAUAAACCUUAUCAAAUGAUAAAUAUGCCUUAUUUGGUUCGCUAUGUCUCGCUGACAUGAUGUCUGUUUGUGUGAUUUGUGCUGCAAAAUUGUUCUGCAGUUUGGAUGGACUUUGUGUAAAAUCUAAACCAAAAAUAAAACUUACCUGGGUACAAACUUAAGUAUGUCGACCAAG